rnacentral:rRNA from 1 species
AUUGACGACCAAAGCGGACUGGUACCACCUGUUCCCAUUUGAACACAGAAGUGAAACGGUCCAGCGUAGUGGGUUGUACUGUGGGAAACCACGGGAAUUCCACUGCGUCGUCAUUU